UACGUAGGUGGCAAGCGUUGUCCGGAAUUAUUGGGCGUAAAGAGCUCGUAGGCGGUUCGUCGCGUCGGCUGUGAAAACCCGGAGCUCAACUCCGGGCCUGCAGUCGAUACGGGCGGACUUGAGUGUUGCAGGGGAGACUGGAAUUCCUGGUGUAGCGGUGAAAUGCGCAGAUAUCAGGAGGAACACCGGUGGCGAAGGCGGGUCUCUGGGCAACUACUGACGCUGAGGAGCGAAAGCGUGGGGAGCGAACAGG
rnacentral:rRNA from 1 species